AUUGAACGCUGGCGGCAUGCUUUACACAUGCAAGUCGAACGGUAACAGGUUAAGCUGACGAGUGGCGAACGGGUGAGUAAUGCAUCGGAACGUGCCCGGUCGUGGGGGAUAACGCAGCGAAAGCUGCGCUAAUACCGCAUACGAUCUGAGGAUGAAAGCGGGGGACCGUAAGGUCUCGCGCGAUCGGAGCGGCCGAUGUCCGAUUAGGGAGUUGGUGGGGUAAAGGCUCACCAAGCCGACGAUCUGUAGCUGGUCUGAGAGGACGACCAGCCACACUGGGACUGAGACACGGCCCAGACUCCGACGGGAGGCGGCAGUGGGGAAUUUUGGACAAUGGGCGCAAGCCUGAUCCAGCAAUGCCGCGUGCAGGAAGAAGGCCUUCGGGUUGUAAACUGCUUUUGUACGGAGCGAAAAGGCUCUCUCUAAUACAGGGGGCUCACGACGGUACCGUAAGAAUAAGCACCGGCUAACUACGUGCCAGCAGCCGCAGUAA
rnacentral:rRNA from 1 species